UCUCUCCACCGUCAAUAUGCUCCUUCGGUCUUCAUCAUCGACCCAUCUCUUUCCACUCCCCGCUGUUGGUUUUCUCCAUCGUCGUCAACUUGUGCUAUCCUUACUGUCACGAUUGGCUACUGGAGGUGGUGGAGUCGCCGGAUUCUCUUCUUUCGUCGCUGUCUGUUCUUCCAGGGGGAUUGAGUUCAGAACGCUGAAUGCUAACGGCAGUUUCGUUAGCCCUUGGCGCGCCAUAGUACACUUAGCUAGCAGGGUGCUUUGGAGGUGCUAGUCCCGUGUGCUGGCCAACACACGCGGAAUGGAGGAUAUAGUUUCGUGGAUACAAUCCACGCCUGUUAUUCGUGAGCUUUAUGCUUGUGCCUGUUUUUUGUGGCUUCUUGCCACGCCGGAUAUGUUACUUACCCUCGUGGGCUUUGUAUCUAUGUUUGUUAAUCGUUCUGAUCAAGUCCCGUUAAAGAAAGGAUUUUGAAACUA